UAGGGAAUCUUCGGCAAUGGGGGCAACCCUGACCGAGCAACGCCGCGUGAGUGAAGAAGGUUUUCGGAUCGUAAAGCUCUGUUGUAAGAGAAGAACGUGUGUGAGAGUGGAAAGUUCACACAGUGACGGUAACUUACCAGAAAGGGACGGCUAACUACGUGCCAGCAGCCGCGGUAAUACGUAGGUCCCGAGCGUUGUCCGGAUUUAUUGGGCGUAAAGCGAGCGCAGGUGGUUUAAUAAGUCUGAAGUUAAAGGCAGUGGCUUAAGCAUUGUUAGCUUUGGAAACUGUUAAACUUGAGUGCAGAAGGGGAGAGUGGAAUUCCAUGUGUAGCGGUGAAAUGCGUGGAUAUAUGGAGGAACACAGGUCGCGAAAGCGGCUCUCUGGUCUGUAACUGACGCUGAGGCUCGAAAGCGUGGGGAGCAAACAGG
rnacentral:rRNA from 1 species